rnacentral:rRNA from 1 species
CCUACGGGAGGCAGCAGUGGGGAAUUUUGGACAAUGGGCGCAAGCCUGAUCCAGCAAUGCCGCGUGAGUGAAGAAGGCCUUCGGGUUGUAAAGCUCUUUUGUCAGGGAAGAAACGGUGGGGGCUAAUAUCCCUCGCUAAUGACGGUACCUGAAGAAUAAGCACCGGCUAACUACGUGCCAGCAGCCGCGGUAAUACGUAGGGUGCAAGCGUUAAUCGGAAUUACUGGGCGUAAAGCGUGCGCAGGCGGUUUUGUAAGUCAGAUGUGAAAGCCCCGGGCUCAACCUGGGAACUGCAUUUGAAACUACGAAGCUAGAGUGUGUCAGAGGGGGGUAGAAUUCCACGUGUAGCAGUGAAAUGCGUAGAGAUGUGGAGGAAUACCAAUGGCGAAGGCAGCCCCCUGGGAUAACACUGACGCUCAUGCACGAAAGCGUGGGGAGCAAACAGGAUUAGAUACCCUGGUAGUCCACGCCCUAAACGAUGUCAACUAGUUGUCGGGAAGCAAUUCCUUGGUAACGCAGCUACGCGNGAGUAGACGCCGCGGAGGUACGGUCGUCGAGAGUUAAACUUACUAAGUUAGUUAGUUAGAGGCGNGAGAGNGCGACGGACGACGACGAGGGAGGAGG